rnacentral:rRNA from 1 species
CAGCAGCAGCCGCGGGAAUACGGAGGGAGCUAGCGUUGUUCGGAAUUACUGGGCGUAAAGCGCGCGUAGGCGGUUACUCAAGUCAGAGGUGAAAGCCCGGGGCUCAACCCCGGAACUGCCUUUGAAACUAGGUGACUAGAAUCUUGGAGAGGUCAGUGGAAUUCCGAGUGUAGAGGUGAAAUUCGUAGAUAUUCGGAAGAACACCAGUGGCGAAGGCGACUGACUGGACAAGUAUUGACGCUGAGGUGCGAAAGCGUGGGGAGCAAACAGGUUUAGAUACCCGCGUAGUCCCUGUCUCUUAUAC